rnacentral:hammerhead_ribozyme from 1 species
ACACUGCUGAGGAGUCCCAUAAUAGAAAGAAACGGCCGUCUAGUAU